AUUGAUCCUGGCUCAGAUUGAACGCUGGCGGCAUGGCUAAAGCAUGCAAGUCUGGGAGAACCUUCGGGGGACACCGGCGAAAGGGCGAGUAAUACGAUCGAACGUACCCCAAGGUGGAGGAUAGUGUCGGGAAAACGGCGGUAAUACUCCAUGUGCUCUUCGGAGGAAAGCUUUUGCGGCGAUCGUCCUAUCAGGUAGUCGGUGAGGUAAAGGCUCACCAAGCCGAAGACGGGUAGCGGGUGUGAGAGCAUGACCCGCCGCAUCGGGACUGAGACACUGCCCGGACUCCUACGGGAGGCUGCAGCGACGAAUCUUCCGCAAUGGGCGAAAGCCUGACGGAGCAAUGCCGCGUGUGGGAUGAAGCAUCUCGGUGGUGUAAACUACUGUCAGGGACUAGAACAAAUGAGCAGACCCAAAGGAAGGGCCGGCUAACUUCGUGCCAGCAGCCGCGGUAAUACGAAGGGCCCGAGCGCUGCGCGGAAUCACUGGGCUUAAAGCGUACGUAGGCGGACUUAUAGGCAUCUUGUGAAAUCCCACGGCUCAACCGUGGAACUGCUCGAUGAACCAUAAGUCUUGAGGCAGGUAGGGGCUGUCGGAACGAUAGGUGGAGUGGUGAAAUGCGUUGAUAUCUAUCGGAACACCGAAGGAGAAAUCAGACAGCUGGGCCUGACCUGACGCUGAUGUACGAAAGCGUGGGUAGCGAACGGGAUUAGAUACCCCGGUAGUCCACGCCGUAAACGAUGUGCACUAGAUCGAGGGGGUUUUGAGCCGCUCUCGGUCGAAGCGAAAGUGUUAAGUGCACCGCCUGGGGAGUACGGUCGCAAGGCUAAAACUCAAAGGAAUUGACGGGGGCUCACACAAGCGGUGGAGCAUGUUGCUUAAUUCGAGGCAACGCGAAGAACCUUACCUAGGCUUGACAUGUAUGGAUUAGCAUUAUGAAAGUUUUGUAACGCCCCCUUGGGUGGAACGUACACAGGUGCUGCAUGGCUGUCGUCAGCUCGUGCUGUGAAGUGUCGGGUUUAGUCCCUUAACGAGCGCAACCCCUAUCGUUAGUUACUAACGCGUCAUGGCGAGGACUCUAGCGAGACUGCCGGUGUCAAACCGGAGGAAGGUGGGGAUGACGUCAAGUCCUCAUGGCCCUUACGCCCAGGGAUGCAAACGUGCUACAAUGGUACGGACAGAGCGACGCGAGACCGUGAGGUGGAGCAAAUCGCAAAAACCGUGCCCCAGUUCGGAUUGCAGGCUGCAACUCGCCUGCAUGAAGCCGGAAUCGCUAGUAAUCGCGCAUCAGCUACGGCGCGGUGAAUACGUUCCUGAGCCUUGUACACACCGCCCGUCACGUCAUGGAAGCUGGCAGCGCCCGAAGUCACCUCAUUUCAGGGGUGCCUACGGCGAGGCUGGUAACUGGGACUAAGUCGUAACAAGGUAACC
rnacentral:rRNA from 1 species